rnacentral:lncRNA from 1 species
UUAAAUUCUAAAACCUUCUCCACGCUCUUUGUGUGUGCGCGAUGUCUGCGUAUAUUUUUGUCGACUUUUCAACUUGGCGAUUGCGAAUGCGAUGGUGUUGGUGGUGGUGCCGGUGACGCGGCACCACCGUUUGGUGGUGCGGUGGCUCGGUGGUGCGGUGUGCAUUUGAAAUAUGGUCGCUUGUGCCACAAAUAAAUAACGCUUUCAAAUCGCUCGCAAGUGGAUUCAGCAGCAUUUCAGUGUGCCAACGCUUGUGUGUGUCUGUGUGUGUGUCUGGGAGGAAUUGUUGUUGGUCUGCUGCUAGUUAAGCACUCGCCCACACACACAUAAGCACGAUUUAAUAUGAGAACUAAAUACCUUUUCGUGCCACAAAUGUGCUAUAUAAACCCAAUUGUAGCCAAACUUUAAGGGCCGUUGAAUGGUUUAAUCUGAUACCAAGUUAUGCCCUUCAGACAGCUGACAACUUUUGGUGAACAACUUCGAAAUGAAAUCAGACAUCCUUAAGUUGCCCCAAAAGCUUGCAAGCGCACAUUGAGUUGAGGGACACAAAAUAACAAUUAAACAUCAAGCUGACAAACUUUGCAACAGCAAACAAACAAGCUACAUGCUAGAUGUAGCAAAUACCGGAAUUAUACCCAUAUAAGUACGUAUGUAUGUGCAUAUAUGUGGAGCAGCAGUUAUAUGGCCGCAGAAGACGCGCAAACUUCGCGCCAGGAUAAGCCCAAGUUGUAAGUGGAAGGACUCAGGACUCAAGCCUCAGGGCGGGAAAACUUUGUCAGCGCGAACGUGACAUGAAAAUCGCUGAGCUGAUGAAAAAUGCUAAAUCGUGACGGGAAUCCCCAAGCCGCAGAGACACACUUGCAACUUUGGCAGCUCUUGCUGGCGGACGCGAAUGCGACACAUGGGUCGAGCCUACGGCAAUAAUAGACCUCCACGACAAUAAAGCAAAAAGAGAAAUAAUCUUAAAAUAUCCUCGGAUACUAUAAUGGUCUUGAAACAGAUUUCAUGCAAAAGGUUGGCAAUUCAGAGAAAACUUUCUUCUGGGAGAUCCAUGAAACUCGAGAUCGCCCGUCGUCACCAGGGAGUGGAAAAUCGGGAGUGAGCAGUCCGGCGCGAGAUGCCAACUCCCGGCAAGUGUGCCUAUAUUUGGGCCACAACUCCGCGCCGACUAAUGGCUUCAUUUGGUCCGAUGUUGGGCCAAUGCAACAGCAACAGCCAGUGCAACUGCAACUGCCCCCGGACACUUGAUGCCCAUGCAGAGCGGAGCACUCGAUGCACUCGGUGUGCUCGAUGCACUUGACUCCGCCGCUGCAGCGAUGUGGUCGUUUAAAAAUAUCACAAGACGAUCCCGCGUUGAACGUCGCUUUCGCUCACGACAUCGCUGCGUUGGCAGCUAAAAAUAGCGGACAAAAUGUAUCUGGCUGUGUGUAUCUUCGAGUGCAGUGUGCAUCUACGAUUACGUGUGCGCCCCUCCACGGCUCCCCCUGGAUCUCCUGGACCGGGAUGUCGCCCAUCCCUCAGAGUUGGUCUUCCGCCUAGACAAAAGGCUAAUGCACUUUCGGGCAAGCUGAUCCGAUGGCCAACGCAUCGGGAAGAGAUUUUGGUUGAUUUAUAAUGAGCCAGCACACUCGGCUACCUAAUUGCUCACUAAGUGGCAAAUGUGUUCGAUGAUGAACAGGCUGUCAACCGGCAAACGCAGCAUGUGGGGAAAUCGCUGGAAAUUGGAAAUUAUUAGGGGUGCUGACCAUGUGGGUGGUCCAGAGAAAACCCUGUGAAGAAUGCAGACACACGGAAUAAUGUCAGUUUACCUGCGUUCAGAACUAUGAAUAAAUCGGCAGUAUUAU